UAUCUUUGUUCUCUCUGCCAGCCCACAACGAAACAAAGCUCAGCGUGGCAGGAACUGCGACCGGUCACCUGGCCGCAAGUCACAGAGCAGAGACACCGACGAGUCCCAGAUGCUGGACUGUGAUCGAAUCCUGCACGGGGUAAAGGGUGGAAGGAUUUUCUGCAGCGAAUCCUCACAACCAGUCUGCGGCACUGAUGGGAAAACAUACAAAAAUGAAUGUGACUUGUGUUCAGCUGCCAUGAGAGCUUCAAACUUCAUCACGUUAAACCACCAAGGCGAGUGCCGAGAGCCUGCCCCUGAACUGGAGUAAUGGAGUUCAGACUGCCAGCAAACACCAGGAAUCAGCUGUUACCGAAGGGCAAGUAAAGGAAGAGUCGAUGUUGAGCAUCAGGGGAGCUUCCAAGUCCCCAGGACUGCCAGAGCUGCCUUCAACGCCUUCUGCAGCAAACGGCGCCCAUCCUUUUUCAGGUGGAGGGCGAAAGGCUGUGAGGACUCAGUGGUGUCUUCCCAGGUCUUCCCCGUGCGUGCCGUUGCAGUCUCUGCUGCCUCGCUGUGCUUAACGUGCUUCUACAAUAAAGAUAACUCAUCAGCUUCAUGUCACUUUUCUUCACUAAGCCUCAUGGGAGGGACACACGAGUCCCCACUCUGGCUUUACACCAUGUGCUCCUUAGGCAAUAAGCACCCUGAGGUGCACGAGCUGCUGUAAAUACCUGGUGAAGAUGUUGGACCCAAGGAGGAAGAGCGUGGUCUGGGGUUUUGUGAGGAGGGACCAGGGGUCAGGUUCUCUCUGACUCAUUAUGGGGUCUUGGGUCAAUCACUUCACUGCCCUAUCAGCCCUUUUUUCCUGCCUGUAA